rnacentral:rRNA from 1 species
UAUCUCUGUAGAGUCUGCAUAUCAAUAAGCGGAGGAAAAGAAACUAACAAGGAUUCCCCUAGUAACGGCGAGUGAAGCGGGAAGAGCUCAAAUUUGAAAUCUUCAAGGUUUGACCUUGACGAAUUGUAGUUUAAAGAAGUGUUUUCGGUUAGAGGAGUAGUAAAAGUUCUUUGGAAUAGGACAUCAUAGAGGGUGAGAAUCCCGUAUUUGACUAUUCUUUCUAGCUUUGUGAUACACUUUCAAAGAGUCGGAUUGUUUGGGAAUGCAGUCCAAAAUGGGUGGUAAAUUUCAUCUAAAGCUAAAUAUUGACGAGAGACCGAUAGCGAACAAGUACCGUGAGGGAAAGAUGAAAAGAACUUUGAAAAGAGAGUUAAACAGUACGUGAAAUUGUCAAAAGGGAAGCGUUUGACACCAGUGUUGUUUUUCCGAAAAUCAAUUAAAAAUUGAUUCAUGCCAGGUUGUAUUGACCUUAUCAGCUUGCAAUUUGGUUUUGGGUCUCUUUUUGAUGCACUUUUCGGUUAACAAGUCAACAUCAAUUUCCUUUGCUGUAAAAAGGUAAGAGGAAGGUGGCUUCAAUUUCGGUUGAAGUGUUUAUAGCCUUUUAUCUCUGCAGUCGGGGAGAUUGAGGUCUGCAGCGUAGAUCCUUCGGGGCUAGAUACAUUUAUGCUAAGUUAUAGCUUUUCAUAGACAACUUGUUGACUAUGUUUAGUCAUGUAGCUUACUCGUAAGUGCUAUUUUACCUACGCUUAGGAUGUUGAAGACUCUACAGAGAUA